CCUACGGGAGGCAGCAGUGGGGAAUCUUGCGCAAUGGGCGAAAGCCUGACGCAGCAACGCCGCGUGCGGGAAGAAGGCCUUCGGGUUGUAAACCGCUUUCAGAAGGAACGAAAAUGACGGUACUUUCAGAAGAAGGUGCGGCCAACUACGUGCCAGCAGCCGCGGUGACACGUAGGCACCAAGCGUUGUCCGGAUUUAUUGGGCGUAAAGAGCUCGUAGGCGGUUCGGUAAGUCAGAUGUGAAAACUUUGGGCUCAACCCAAAGCCUGCAUCUGAUACUGCUGUGACUUGAGUUCGGUAGGGGAGUGGGGAAUUCCUAGUGUAGCGGUGAAAUGCGCAGAUAUUAGGAGGAACACCGGUGGCGAAGGCGCCACUCUGGGCCGAAACUGACGCUGAGGAGCGAAAGCGUGGGUAGCAAACAGGAUUAGAUACCCUGGUAGUCCACGCCGUAAACGUUGGGCACUAGGUGUGGGUUCCAACCACGGAAUCCGCGCCGUCGCCAACGCAUUAAGUGCCCCGCCGUCGGGAGGUACGGUCGCGACGAACUAAACCUACAACUAGAAGUAGACGGCGUGAGACGNGCCGACGGACGACGACGAGGGAGUAGG
rnacentral:rRNA from 1 species